AACGAACGCUGGCGGCAUGCCUAACACAUGCAAGUCGAACGGGACCUUCGGGCUUAGUGGCGCACGGGUGGGUAACGCGUGGUAACUUGCCCUUGGGUUCGGUAUAAUUCCCUGAAAGGGGUGCUAAUACCGGUUAAUCUCUUCGGACCAAAGAUCUCUCGCCAUUGGAUGGGCCCGGGUUGGAUUAGCUGGUUGGUAGGGUAAAAGCCUAUCAAGGAGAGGAUGCAGAGCUGGUGUGAGAGGAUGACCAGCCACACUGGGACUGAGGCACGGACCAGUAUCGGACGGAAGGGAGCAGAGGAGAAUAUUAGGGGCUGGGCGAAAGCCUGAUAAAGCAGUGCCGGGGAAGUGAGGAAGGCCUUAGGAUCGUAAAGCUGUUUUUGCCGAGAUGAUAAUGACAGUAACGGGUGAAUAAGCUCCGGCUAACUCCGUG
rnacentral:rRNA from 1 species